rnacentral:rRNA from 1 species
UACGUAGGGGGCAAGCGUUGUCCGGAAUCAUUGGGCGUAAAGCGCGUGUAGGCGGCCCGAUAAGUCCGCUGUGAAAGUCCAGGGCUCAACCCUGGGAUGCCGGUGGAUACUGUCGGGCUCGAGUCCGGAAGAGGAGUGUGGAAUUCCUGGUGUAGCGGUGAAAUUCGUAGAUAUCGGGAGGUAACACCAGUGGCGAAGGCGGCGAUCUGGGGAAGAUACUGACGCUGAGGUGCGAAAGCGUGGGGAGCAAACAGG